rnacentral:rRNA from 1 species
GACGAACGCUGGCGGUGUGCUUAACACAUGCAAGUCGAACGGUAAGGCCCUUCGGGGUACACGAGUGGCGAACGGGUGAGUAACACGUGGGUGAUCUGCCCUGCACUUCGGGAUAAGCCUGGGAAACUGGGUCUAAUACCGGAUAGGACCACUGCCUGCAUGGGUGGUGGUGGAAAGCUUUUGCGGUGUGGGAUGGGCCCGCGGCCUAUCAGCUUGUUGGUGGGGUGAUGGCCUACCAAGGCGACGACGGGUAGCCGGCCUGAGAGGGUGACCGGCCACACGGGGACUGAGAUACGGCCCAGACUCCUACGGGAGGCAGCAGUGGGGAAUAUUGCACAAUGGGCGCAAGCCUGAUGCAGCGACGCCGCGUGAGGGAUGACGGCCUUCGGGUUGUAAACCUCUUUCAGCACCGACGAAGCGCAAGUGACAGUAGGUGCAGAAGAAGGACCGGCCAACUACGUGCCAGCCGCCGCGGUAACAC